rnacentral:rRNA from 1 species
AUUGAACGCUGGCGGCAGGCCUAACACAUGCAAGUCGAGCGGAUGAAGGGAGCUUGCUCCUGGAUUCAGCGGCGGACGGGUGAGUAAUGCCUAGGAAUCUGCCUGGUAGUGGGGGAUAACGUCCGGAAACGGGCGCUAAUACCGCAUACGUCCUGAGGGAGAAAGUGGGGGAUCUUCGGACCUCACGCUAUCAGAUGAGCCUAGGUCGGAUUAGCUAGUUGGUGGGGUAAAGGCCUACCAAGGCGACGAUCCGUAACUGGUCUGAGAGGAUGAUCAGUCACACUGGACCUGAGACACGGUCCAAACCCCAAGGGGAGGCAGAGGUGGGAAUAUUGGACAAUGGGCGAAAGCCUGAUCCAGCCAUGCCGCGUGUGUGAAGAAGGUCUUCGGAUUGUAAAGCACUUUAAGUUGGGAGGAAGGGCAGUAAGUUAAUACCUUGCUGUUUUGACGUUACCAACAGAAUAAGCACCGGCUAACUUCGUG